UUUUUUUUUUUCUUUUUUUUUUUCUUUUUUUUUAACCUCUUUUUUUAUUUUCUUUUUAAGUGAAGUUUCGGACUUUGAUGUAGUUGCACAGCUUGAAUUUGGUCGGGAGCUUAGCAGGGGUCAUGCAACAGAGCUCAGCGUUUCGUGUCAGCGAAUCCAUAUCCCAGGUUGUCUGAAGAACUGCCCCGGCUCGGGAUGGGGAGCGGGCAACGUGGUAGGAAAAUAGGUUGCCAUGGGGGGGGGGGGAGGGGGGAGGGUUUGCCGUGUAUCAAAGGCUUGACCCGCUAGUGGAAGCCUUUCAUUGUAAAAACCAGUGCUAGCGAUGAAGAAACCUGCAGCUUCAGUAAGGGAAAAGUCUUACCCCAGUGGGUUCUAUAUAAUAUAAUACACACACAUGCACGACCGCAGCCCGAUAGCUUUUGGAAGCAGCUCCUUUGCCCCGCCGGAGCUCCUGCCCCGUGGCCGGUGCCGGCGCCCAGUCAGCUCCCGUCUUCAGCAGAGAAGAGCGGACGAACAAAACCCUCGGCCCAGCCGGGGAUGUUUAAGGGACUUUUUGGGAAGUGGCCGCUGUGAAAGCGGGUUUGGUUUCGGGGUUUAUUUCAUUUCCUCUUCUUUUCUCCCCCACUUUUCCCCGGCUCUCGGUUUGAACAGGCUGCCCUUUCCCAAGGUGCGUACAGGAGAAGGACACCAGGGUUUAUAAUGUGAACUCAAAAAGUUACCGUUCAGGGCAGUGAUUCUGUUUAAUAAUCAGACAAAAUGUAGACGAGCUUUUUAAAGCCAUAUAGUUUUAACUCUGUACAGUAGGUACCGGCCUGUAUUAUUGUAACAAUAACUCUAGCGAUGUAUAGUGUAUCUAUAUAGUUUGGAGUGCCUUCGCUUCCAUGAUUUUUUGAAUUUUAUUUCCCUUUUUUUCCCUCCCCCUCCCCCCCUUUAUUAAUGAUGUCUCUCCCCUUCCUCCCUCCCCAAACCCGCAUCUUUGCUCCCCCCUCUGCUUUCUAACUCUUUGAGUGCUGUAAGGUUUCGGUGAUACCCUGAUCAGUAGCGGAACGAGAGGAAACCGUCUCCACCAUCAUCCAUUUCAUGGGAGCCGUGGCUUUGGGGAUGUCUCCAAGUUGCCCACCCUGCCCUCUCCUCCUCCCGCUAGCAGCCACCGCUUCCGUUCGGACACUUGCCCCAGAGCUCAUUUAGACUUUGCUCAUUGAUCCCCCCCCAGUUCUGCACCCGGGGCUCAUCCGGGCGGCAGCAGCUUCCAGGAGGCUCGGCCUUCCCACCCUCCCUGCGGCUGUGCCGGGGGCAGCGGCCGGGCCCCCAGCGAGGGAACCCCCUUCAUCCCGCAGGGAUGCUCCGCUCGGAGCCCCUCAGCCGCAGCGGGAGCGGGGGCAUCGCUGUAGGAGACUGUGGUGGUUUCUUCUGCCCAGGGGCACUUUGUGUUCCCUUCCUUCUCCUUGUUUUCCUGCCCCCCCCCCCACCCCUCCCCAAAGUCACUUUUUGUUUUCUUGAGAUAAGUUUAACAUGACUCUUGAUUUCUUGUGCCCAGCACGAAGGCCUUGUUUCUAAAACUAGUUUGCUUGUGUUUUACUACCUUGUUAGUAUUCCACAUAAGAUUGUCUUGAAUGGGAAAACACUUAACUCUUUACCAAACCAAAGGUUGCUGUUUUAUUUCGAAGCAUCUCGUGUUCAUUCCAGUGAAGCAGAGGCUGCACUUUCUUUCUGGUGACACGAAGGUCAGUGAUGCCAAGCUGUUGGUGACAGUCUGCUCAGAGCUGUCCCUCUCUUCUGUUACUCUCUUUCGGGCUUGUUUUUUAACCCAGUCUGGUCUUGAUCUGCCCUUUACAUCAGCCUUGCUGUGGCGUGGGUCUCUGAGCCGGACUCGAUCGCAGUCCGUCUGCCCCAGUGGACGCCUGAUCGAGACGCUGGUGUUCUUUAAUCUUACAUUUACCUACCUUGCUAGGGAAAGGAAAAAAACAAAAGACCUUCAAAAGAAAAUUGGCUGGUAGAAGAUCCCCAACACUUUGUCCUCUUAUUUCGAAGCCAAGCUUUAGCUAAAAUAACGGCAGGCGCCUGUAACUUGCAACUUAAAGUUCCCCACCCCUGGUUUUCAGUACUUGGAAAAGUAGAAUCCAAGCAGCCUGUCAGACUCGUGCUCCUGUACUGGGAACCUCAGCCACCGCAGAGGAAAAGGAAAAGCCGAUGAGGAAAAGCACAGUAGGGUGUUCGGUCCGGGCUCUGCCCCUGGGGCACUGCCAGCGCAUACCCCGGGGUGGCCGCUCACUUCCACGGGGCUCUCGGCCGGUUCUGGUCGUAGUUGGCUUCGUUUUGCAACCCCGCAAUAACAGCAAAACGGACAGGAAAGGAAAACAGUACCUAAGGGGUUAGCUCGAGAAAAGUAGCUUCCUUGUGUUGGUCUUUCUCCAUUUAUUUUUAAUAUAUAUAUAUAAAAAAUAUAUUUAUAUAUAUAUAAUUUGCUUGCCUGUAAAAUUUGCGUUCAUUCAUGUGUUGCUGAUGGAUCACUUGGGCCUGUACACACCAAUUAGCGUGACCACUUCCAUCUUAAAAAAACGGAAAUCUAAAAAAAAAAAUAUAUAUAUAUAUUAAGGACUGUGGGUUGUAUACAAACUAUUGCAUACACUUGUGCAAAUCUGUCUUGAUUUAAAGGAGAAGCAAAACCUGUAUAACAUUAUUACUACUUGAAUGCCUCUGUGACUGAUUUUAUUUUAUUUCUUUUUUUUUCUUUUUUUUUCUUUUUUUUUUUUUCAUUUGAAAUAUAAACUUUUUUUGUGGAAAGUAUGCUCAAUGUUUUAUUAUUUCCCCUGCCCCACUCCCCCUUGUAAAUACGUUUUGUUCUGUGUGACUCGGUUCGGAACUAGUUACCUGGUACUGUAAUUUGCAUUAAAUAAAACGUAGGUUAGCCUGGAAAUGAAAUUUAAAAAAUACCAAGUGUGUGGUCUUUAUUUCAAAACAAUUGCCCCUUUCUUUCCUCCUCCUCCUUCCCUUCUUUCCCUUCUCCUCGCCCUCACGCCUCUUUCCACUCCGCAAGAAUUAGGUGGACAUGAAUCUUUGUAAUGAUAAUGAAAAGGAAAAACCACAAGAAAUAAGCAUGUUUUCUUAACUGAGCUGUGUUAUUCCAUGCUGGUUUUCAAGAGAUGCCAGCUUGUCUCUGAUACCGUUUGAUUUGAUGGAGAGAGGAACCCUGGGACACAAAUAACUUCAAAUUAAAACCAACCAAUCUUCCUUCCCCGUCCACCUAUAGAUACGAACUUAAGAACCUGUGUAAAGCGCUGGCUUUGAAUCCUGCACUCAUGGUUGUUUGGGUUUGGUUUUCUUUUUCUCAUUUGAUCCCAUUAGUAAUGUUCUUUGGUGGUGAUCUGUAAAGUUUGUCGAGACCACGUCCAGUGGACCGUUCCUCCAGCAAAUCAGCAGUAGCUCUCUCUGGGUUGGGUUUCCGGUACUGGAUGAUGUGUGUGUUCAACAUGACGUGUCUAUUAGCGCAAAAGAUAAAACAAACCUCCUUGUUCUGGGCUGUGUGACCCGGCCGGGGCCGCUCUGUCGCUAUCCUAAAGGCUAGAUGCGAGGUCAUGUGACUGCUGCUUCAAUAAAAACAGAUUUAUAUUG
rnacentral:lncRNA from 1 species